UACGUGAGCCCCAAGCAUUAUCCGGAAUCAUUGGGCGUAAAGGGUCCGUAGGCGGUCUUAUUAGUCUCUUGUUAAAGCACCGGGCUCAACCCGGGACAAGCAAGGGAAACGGUAAGACUAGAGAAUGACAGAGGUGUGUGGAACUCAAGGUGUAGGGGUGAAAUCCGUUGAUAUCUUGGGGAACACCGAAAGCGAAGGCAGCACACUGGGUCAUUUCUGACGCUGAGGGACGAAACCCUGGGUAGCGAAUGGG
rnacentral:rRNA from 1 species